GACGAACGCUGGCGGCGUGCCUAAUACAUGCAAGUCGAACGAGAGCGACCGGUGCUUGCACUGGUCAAUCUAGUGGCGAACGGGUGAGUAACACGUGGGUAACCUGCCCAUCAGAGGGGGAUAACAUCCGGAAACGGAUGCUAAAACCGCAUAGGUCUUCGAGCCGCAUGGCUUGAAGAGGAAAAGAGGCGCAAGCUUCUGCUGAUGGAUGGACCCGCGGUGCUUUAGCUAGUUGGUGAGGUAACGGCUCACCAAGGCCGUGAUGCAUAGCCGACCUGAGAGGGUGAUCGGCCACAUUGGAACUGAGACACGGCCCAAACUCCUACGGGAGGCAGCAGUAGGGAAUCUUCCGCAAUGGAGGAAAGUCUGACGGAGCAACGCCGCGUGAGUGAUGAAGGUUUUCGGAUCGUAAAACUCUGUUGUUAGGGAAGAACAAGUGCUAGAGUAACUGUUAGCGCCUUGACGGUACCUAACCAGAAAGCCACGGCUAACUACGUG
rnacentral:rRNA from 1 species